UAAAUUAUUUUGUUGUAAUUGGGGCAUUUAAAAAGUAAUUUAAUAAUUUACACUGAAACAAUAGAAUUCGUUUUAUCAAUGACAGAUCAGGGUGCAAUAUCUACACUCAAGAAUGCUUUAGAUAAUUUAAUAAUAAAAAAGUGUAAAGCAGUGAUAGGUUAACUUUAUAAGUUUAUGAGACUCUGUAAAUUAUUACUGUUUAUAUGGCUAAAAAAGAGUAGAGUAAAUGACUAGAUGGAUAAGUAUAGUUUUAGUGACACCCUGUUGGAAAUGCUUCUGGUAUAAACUAAUAACACUGGCAAGUUUCCAGAUAAUUUCACUCAGUGAUGUAUUGCUCAAUUAAAGUAGCUAUUCCCAUUUCGUGUUUCACAUUUCACGAAACUCGAGGCGUGAAUUAUAUUGCUUUUUCAUUUAUCUUAGACUAUAAACAAUAUUCUUUUUGUUUCAGCAUUCGCAACAAUUUGCCUACAACAGAAAAGUCCUUACAAGCCACUGUACCAAGAAUAUUUUGGACUAUGGUAUAGAAAGUACUUUGAAGUAUUCGUCACAGUUUCCUGUCACUCAGUGUUUUGGAUUGUUUAGUAUGGAAGUGAGCACUACAGUGUUAAUAUUCCAUAAUUCUUCUUUCUAAACCAUUGACAGUACAAAUAAAAAGAUUGAAGAUAUAUGAGAGAGGAUAUUGACUUCAUUUUGAUUCUACUAAAAAAACAAGGUUUUCUACUACAGUGUUCUAGCUGUUAAAAUUUACCUCAGAGAAUCUUGUAGUUAAUUAAGAUUUUGUUACAGAAACAGCAUAAAAACUUCGACCGCCAUGUGUUACGAAGCAUUGGUUGUCUCAAUCCUCCUUGGCUCCAGAAAGUAGCAGUAUCUAAUGUCACUAAGAAAAAAUGAAAGAGCCCUUUUUCCAUUGGGACUAAAGACCGCAUGUUAUUGUUAAAGGAAGGAUUUAUGACAAUCAAUUGAUUGUCGUAACAAAUGGUAGAGAAUUAAAGUUAAUACAGAUGCUGCUGAAACAACCAAUGAAUACAAAGGUAUUGUUUUUUUUUUUGGAGUCUCCACAAUUCAACAUUAUGCAGUUAAUUAUCGACCUGUAAGAGGGAGGUAACCGGACAUUACUUCAAAAACCACUGAAACAGCAAAUUGUCAGCAAUGGUAUUGUUUCUGGAUUUGGUUUGCUCAUCACACUAGUAAACUUUGGAACUUUACUUUCGAUAGUUAAUUAAGAUCGACGAUGGAGAAGACAAGGAAGAUCCCGUAGUUAGAAAAUUCCUUAACUUGCAUGUUAUAUCUAAUAGAAUUAUUUUUUUUAAGUUCAUUUUCAUUUGAAUUAAUUAUUGUUUUGCAUGCUCAUUAUAGUUUAUUUUAUUUGAGUUAAUUUUUGUUUGUAGAUGUUCUAACUUUUGUUUAGUAGAAGUUGUCUAACAUGUCUCUUGCUUACCUCUUCGCUUAGCUUACUGCAUAUUCUUACUUUAAAUUGCUUUGCAUUUACCCU